GCAAUGAUAGCUCAGCGUCAGAG
rnacentral:tRNA from 1 species